rnacentral:rRNA from 1 species
CCUACGGGAGGCAGCAGUGGGGAAUAUUGCACAAUGGGGGAAACCCUGAUGCAGCGACGCCGCGUGAGUGAAGAAGUAAUUCGUUACGUAAAGCUCUAUCAGCCGGGAAGAAAAUGACGGUACCUGAGUAAGAAGCCCCGGCUAACUACGUGCCGGCAGCCGCGGUAAUACGUAGGGGGCAAGCGUUAUCCGGAUGUCCUGGGUGUUAAGGGAGCGUAGACGUGUGGACAAGUCGGGAGUUAAAUGCCGAAGCUUAACUGCGGAACUGCUGUGGAAACUGGCGAACUAGAGUGCGGGAGGGGUAAGCGGAAUUCCUAGGGGAGCGGUGAAAUGCGUAGAUAUUAGGAGGAACACCGGUGGCGAAGGCGGCUUACUGGACCGUAACUGACGUUGAGGCUCGAAAGCGUGGGGAGCAAACAGGAUUAGAUACCCUUGUAGUC